UACAGAGGUCUCAAGCGUUGUUCGGAUUCAUUGGGCGUAAAGGGUGCGUAGGCGGCGCGGUAAGUCGGGUGUGAAAUCUCGGGGCUUAACUCCGAAACUGCAUUCGAUACUGCCUGUGCUUGAGGACUGGAGAGGAGACUGGAAUUUACGGUGUAGCGGUGAAAUGCGUAGAUAUCGUAAGGAAGACCAGUGGCGAAGGCGGGUCUCUGGACAGUUCCUGACGCUGAGGCACGAAGGCCAGGGGGAGCAAAACGGG
rnacentral:rRNA from 1 species